rnacentral:lncRNA from 1 species
CCACUAUCCAUGUAAACCUGUUGGAAAAUUCAUUUCGGAAUCUGUAGGAUCACUAAAAUGAUCAUCUUCACCUUUAACAAUAUUAUUUUUAUCUAUAACAAUUUUAUCAAAGUUUGUUUCUCUUAUCUGAGAAGUAGAUGCUCUUGAGGGGAUAUCUACAAUAUAAUCUACUGGUGAAAUGUAAGAGGACACAGAUCUAGUUAACUUAGAAGAAGAAUCUGUAAGCCUAGGAAUAUCCUGGGGUUUAAAUCUUAAAGUUACAUUACCAUCCUUACUCUGAAUAAUUUCAUAAAUCUCUUCACUAGUAAUUUCUUGAGGUACUGCUGCCUCUUCAAUAAUCCAUUCACUAGGGA